AGAGUUUGAUUAUGGCUCAGGAUGAACGCUAGCGACAGGCCUAACACAUGCAAGUCGAGGGGCAGCGAAGAGGUAGCAAUACCUUUGUCGGCGACCGGCGCACGGGUGAGUAACACGUAUGCAAUCCACCUGUAACAGGGGGAUAACCCGGAGAAAUCCGGACUAAUACCCCAUAAUAUGGGCGCUCCGCAUGGAGAGCCCAUUAAAGAGAGCAAUUUUGGUUACAGACGAGCAUGCGCUCCAUUAGCCAGUUGGCGGGGUAACGGCCCACCAAAGCGACGAUGGAUAGGGGUUCUGAGAGGAAGGUCCCCCACAUUGGAACUGAGACACGGUCCAA
rnacentral:rRNA from 1 species